rnacentral:rRNA from 1 species
AAGAGAGUUUGAUCCUGGCUCAGGAUGAACGCUGGCGGCGUGGAUAAGGCAUGCAAGUCAAACGGAAUAUCUUUUGAAGAAGUUGAGAUUACAUCAAGGCAACGGAUUUAGAUGUUCAGUGGCAGACGGGGUAGUAACACGUAGGAACUUACCUUAGAGACGGGCAUAACUAGCCGAAAGGUUAGCUAAUUCCCGAUAGUUCUCGUAAGAGUAAAUCACUCAGAUUGGCUCUAAGAAAGGCCUGCGGGCUAUCAGCUUGUUGGUAGGGUAAUGGCCUACCAAGGCUAUGACGGCUAGGGGAAGUGAGAGCUUGAUCCCCACCAAUGGAACUGCGACACGGUCCAUACACCUACGGGUGGCUGCAGUCAAGAACAUUCGACAAUGGGCGAAAGCCUGAUCGAGCGACGCCGCGUGCGGGAGGAAGUCCUUCGGGACGUAAACCGCUUUUAUAGGUGAAAAACUAAAGUGAUAUUAGCCUAUGAAUAAGGGCUUGCUAACCUCGUGCCAGCAGCCGCGGUAAUACGAGGAGCCCAAGCGUUAUCCGGAUUUACUGGGCGUAAAGGGUGUGUAGGAGGCAUGGUUAGUCCCUGCUUAAAUUUCACCGCUUAACGGUGAAGCUGGCAGGGAAACGGCCAAGCUUGGAGGGUGCCAGAGGCAAAUGGAACUCUAGGUGUAGGGGUGAAAUCCGUUGAUAUCUAGGGGAACACCAAAGGCGAAGGCAAUUUGCUGGGGCAUUCCUGACUCUGAAACACGAAAGCGUGGGGAUCAAAAAGGAUUAUAGUAACAAAAUGUAGAUACCCUUGUAGUCCACGCCCUAAACGAUGCAGGCUAGGCAUUCGAAGUAUCGACCCUUCGGGAGCCGUAAGCUAACGCGUUAAGCCUGCCGCCUGGGAAGUACGAACGCAAGUUUAAAACUCAAAGGAAUAGACGGGGACUCGCACAAGCGGUGGAGCAUGUGGUUCAAUUCGACGGUAAGCGAAAAACCUCACCAGGGCUUGAAAUGCUUUUGAAGUUUCGGCGAAAGCUGGAACGUCUCACAAGGACAAAAGCACAGGUGCUGCAUGGCCGUCGUCAGCUCGUGGCUUGAGCUGUUCCCUUAAGUGGGGUAACGAGCGCAACCCCUAUCGUCUGUUAUAAGUGUCAGACGAGACUGCCCUCGUAAGAGGGAGGAAGGCGGGGAUGACGCCAGGUCAGCAUGGCCCUUUGAUGCCCUGGGCUACACACGUGCUACAAUGCCGAUGACAAUGGGUUGCGAUGCCGUAAGGCGGAGCCAAUCCCAUCAAAAGUCGGCUCAGUUCGGAUUGAGGUCUGCAACUCGACCUCAUGAAGCUGGAAUCGCUAGUAAUCGCAGGUCAGCUACACUGCGGUGAAUACGUUCUCGAGUCUUGUACUCACCGCCCGUCACGUCAGGGAAGCCGGGAAGAGCUUAAGUCUCAUUUUUGGGCCCAAGCUCGGCUCGGUGACAAGGACGAAGUCGUAACAAGGCACGGCUAGCGGAAGCUGGUCGUGGAGUUUCUCC